GUGUUCAGUUACCCGCACACACCGAUCUGCACCGGCAGCAAAGCGUGGCCGUGAGUCCGUCUUCGGUCUGGGGUUCGCAGCAGAGAAGCAGUCGGUGUCAGGUGUGUGCAGGUCCAAGGUCGACUCGCUCAGCGUGGACUUUGGCGCUGUCGCAGGCGGAAAAACAGCAAAACAGAUCUCACCUGGCGUUUGCUGAAUGAUCAGGUUAUCAGAUUCACUCCUUGUUACCAAGGUAACAACCUGAACUGAGCCCAAAAGAAGUCCUUCGUUCUCGAAAUUAACUUUUGAAUCCACAAUGGGAGACAAACCACCAACAGCAGCCUCGCCAGGUGAGUGAUGACACGUUCACAGCAGCUGCACCAUAAAACUACACCAGCAGGUUCUACAACCGUCGGCCAAACACUGACCUCUCAUACGUCACACCUCACCGAAGCUUUCGCUGCGUUCAUAGUUGAUGGUUUGAAUACAUGUUUUUAGUUU